rnacentral:rRNA from 1 species
UACGGGGGGGGCAAGCGUUGUUCGGAUUCAUUGGGCGUAAAGGGUGCGUAGGCGGCGCGGUAAGUCGGGUGUGAAAUCUCGGAGCUUAACUCCGAAACUGCAUUUGAUACUGGCGUGCUUGAGGACUGGAGAGGAGACUGGAAUUCAUGGUGUAGCAGUGAAAUGCGUAGAGAUCAUGAGGAAGACCAGUGGCGAAGGCGGGUCUCUGGACAGUUCCUGACACUGAGGCACGAAGGCCAGGGGAGCAAACGGG